rnacentral:misc_RNA from 1 species
AUUAUGGCUGUUGCCGGCGUAACUGUCGACUCGGCUGAAAUAUACGAGCUACCCAUUUUUAGGAAAUAGACGGUUUGACUCGGCGUAAUAACAUAUUUCGCUGAGGACGUCACAUUCUUAAUUAUCAGUGGUGCUUCUAAUGCGACAUCUAAAUUUAAGCUUUAGACCUCAAAUCAGUCAGGACUACCCGCUGAACUUAA